rnacentral:misc_RNA from 1 species
UUUCCGUAGGUGAACCUGCGGAAGGAUCAUUAUUGUAUAACCGAGGUGCGAGGGUUGUCGCUGACCCGAAAGGUCGUGCACGCCCGAGUGCCCUCACACAUCCAUCUCACCCCUAUGUGCACCACCGCGUGGGUCCCCCUUUGGCUUGUUCGGAGGGGGGCUUACGUUUUCACACAAACUUUGUAUGCAGUGUAGAAUGUAUUUUUUGUUUUUGCGAUCACGCAAUCAAUACAACUUUCAACAACGGAUCUCUUGGCUCUC